UUCAACUUCUUCACUCACUCACUCUCUCGUUCUCGCGCCGUUGCAACGUUUCUUUCUUUGAAAUCUCAAACCCUAAUUUCUUGUUUGUUCCACAAUUUCUCAAUCAAUUGCUCAUCAAUUUCUCAAUCUAUUCCACAAUUCAAACCCUAAUUCACAACACCAUGAUCGAUUUUGCUUCUCAUCAUCAUCCAACCCUGUUUUUCAACAAGGGUGAUCAUCAUCUCGAUGAUCUUCAAACUGAUAAGAAGAAAACAUUCAACUCUGCCAAAGCACACACAACCUCCAAACCUGUUCUUCAACCACCUCAAACAAACGAUCAAAAUCGCAUCUUGAAGAUCACCUUUUUCUCCUCUUCUGUUCGUAACAAGGAGAAACAACAACAGGAGAAACCUUAUUUGUGUCGUGUUUGCGAAAGGGCUUUUACAUCCAACCGAGCUUUGAAUGGACAUAUGAGAUGUCACAGUUCCAAGAAGGGUACUUCUCCAUUUUUGACUUGUCAAGAUGCUAUUGACUUGUCAAGGUUUUUGCCCCCAAAAACCUACAAGACCCGUAAGCGUUCCAAGAGAUUUGUCAUUGAUGAUGAUGUCCGUGAGGUUGCUCAAUCAUUGUUAGAUAUGUCUUGUGGGAAAUCGUUAUAUUUUGAUGCGGAUAAUCACGAUAACAACGGUAAAAGAUUGAAGCUUUCCGAUGAAAAAGCAAGGUGUUGAUGAUCCUUUGUCUAUUUGUGUUAAUUGAAUUGAAUGAACAGGAUUUUAUCAUCUUAAUAUUGUUAUAAAUUGUGCUGUUUCGAUGUUUUGGUAGUGGAAUUUAUUCUUGUAUAUGAAGUAUAGAAUUGAAACACUUGAGUUUUUGUAUGAUGUUUUUAUGUUUGAAUUCAUAUUCUUACACUUGUUAUUGUUUAUUUCAUGUGUCAUUCUUUCAUGAAUUGAUGAGCAUAAAAGCAAAACCAAUGAUCCUUUGCCAAAGUCAUCUAGAUUGGUAAUAAUGGUUUCAUUAAGGUAAGUUAAUAUUUUUGGAUUAUCACAAAAAUCUACUGAUGAUCUCUCUGCUACUUUAUUGAUCAUUUGGAUUAUAAGGUAAGUUAGCUUUCCAUUAAGUUUUCUUAUCCGAUUCCGUCUAAGUAAUUGAUUGCUAACUAUUCAUAUUUGCUGUUCAUUUUGGUUUUAAUCUUUAACACUUCUUGAUGUAUUCUAUUCAACCAUCACUAUGUCAUUUGUUAGUACGAAUCAGUUAUACUCUUUUCUAACUUCAACGUUAUCCAUCGUUCUCUCUUUAUCCUUGGUGUUUUCUUUUUUCAAAGCACUUGUAACUAUACUUGUGAAAUUUCACCAGUGAAACAUUACAGAGAUGGAACCGUCAAAUAGAUAGGAAAGAGGGGAAAAAUUGUGUGUAAAAAUGUUUAUAUAUUCUCUCUUUUUUUCAUCAAAUCUGGCGUGUUGAGUAAAUCUAACUGUAAAAUUUUACUGCAACACCGGUGAGGGACUUAGUUGAGCCCUCACCCUAGAAGCCACCUUGUUUUCGUGUGGGUGAUGUUGUCAAUUUUUUUGAAUUACCUUUUAGUCUCUAAACCAGUUAUUUUGUGCAUGUGGCUUAUCCUUUUUUUUCCAUUUAUAUAUUCAAUCUGCUUAGAUUUUUAUUUUCCUUUUUUUUCUAUAUUAAGUCUUUUAUUUUUGGUGCAAUGCUUAAUACACUCACAUUUAUAUCAAUAUUCGAGAUGAAAACGAUAUUUUCUGCAGUUUCUUAAAAUUUUUAAUAGGGUUGUCGAUUUCUUUUCACUUUUUUGUUAUUCUGGAUUUAAAAUCUCCCUUUCAAAUAUUAUUGUUUGUAUCUUUUUGUAUGUAAUGGUGGGUGUCUCAUAAACAGAUUUUGAAGCACGAGUGGCCAGCAAGAUGGCGAAGCUUCAUUCCUGAUGUUGUCUCAGCAGCUAAAACUAGUGAAACAAUCUGCGAGAAUUGCAUGGCUAUACUGAAAGUAGGUUUAUCCCUGUUUUCAUUAGAUUUUAUUUCUUAUGUCUAUGACUAAGUUAAAAAAUGUCUGUUCUGCUUUUGAGUGAAGAGGUUUUUGAUUUUUCAAGAGGAGAAAUGACACAGCAGAAGAUAAAAGAGCUUAAACAAAACAUUCAUUGAACAGGUAGCUGUUAACUGCUUAAUGUAUUCUUUCCUGCUUUCCAUUUCACCUAUCUUUCUUUUAAGUUGAGUGUCUGAAAGAUUAUAAGGUAAGUUAAUAAUGGUUUCAUUAAGGUAAGUUAAUAUUUUUGGAUUAUCACAAAAUCUACUGAUGAUCUCUCUGCUACUUUAUUGAUCAUUUGGAUUAUAAGGUAAGUUAGCUUUCCAUUAAGUUUUCUUAUCCGAUUCCAUCUAAGUAAUUGAUUGCUAACUAUUCAUUUUUGCUGGUCAUUUUAGAUUUAAUCUUUAACACUUCUUGAUGCAUUCUAUUCCACCAUCACUAUAUGUCAUUUGUUAGACACAAAAUUUGCAAAGUUUUGUUCUGCCAAAGACAGGUUGGUAUGGUUAUUGAGCAAGCUUCAAGGACGCCACUAGCACCGUUCAGGAAAAACCCCUAGAUUUUGACAUUCAGUUCUUGCCAUACCUCUCCAGGUACGCCAAAUUUAUAAUGUUGCCCAACCUUUCAUUUCAAUUUUAUCGAUUAUUAAGUCAAUGAUCCUCAUUGGUGGAGUGGAAGUAAAAACUGACAUGAAGAAAAUUGAGGAACAAGGAGCAAACAUCUUGAUCAGCAGGCCUGGUCGAUUACACGACAUGAUGAAUUGGACGGAUGUUUUGGAUUUCAAAAGUUGAGAUAAAUGCUUAUUCUCUGCUACUCAAACUAAGGUUGCUGAAGAGCGUGAUAAAACAGGAUUGAGGUACUCUCUGAGGGUUGGAGUUUGAGUAGAAACAAAAACAACAAAUGGGCAAUGGCAUGCAACAUCAAAACAAAGAGUCUUCAAAGACACUUUCGUGUCUUCACAUUGAGAAAAUGGAAGCGAAGUGAUUGGUAUUUCAUGUUUUAAUCACCUUGUAUGCAUUCACAUUGUUGACAUGCUAAGCAUAUUAGGCUAUGAGUUGUAUGAUAUUAAGGCUAGUGGAGUGAAAGGUAAGUCCACAUCUCCA